GCAGCGAUGUCCGAGUGGUUAAGGAGAUUGACUUGAACUCACUAGGGCUCUGCCCGUGUAGGUUCGAAUCCUGCUAGCUGCG
rnacentral:tRNA from 1 species